rnacentral:rRNA from 1 species
AUUGAACGCUGGCGGCAGGCCUAACACAUGCAAGUCGAGCGGCAGCAGGGAGCUUGCUCCUGGAUUCAGCGGCGGACGGGUGGGUAAUGCCUAGGAAUCUGCCUGUCUGUGUUGUCGAACGUCCUAACACGGGCGCUAAUACGCCAUUCGUCCAGAGGGCGUAAGGGUGGGAGCUUCGGACCUCACGCCAUCACGUGAGCCGAGGACGGAUUAGCUAGUUGGUGGGGUAAAGGCCUACCAAGGCGACGAUCCGUAACUGGUCUGAGAGGAUGAUCAGCCACACUGGAACUGAGACACGGUCCAGACUCCUACGGGAGGCAGCAGUGGGGAAUAUUGGACAAUGGGCGAAAGCCUGAUCCAGCCAUGCCGCGUGUGUGAAGAAGGUCUUCGGAUUGUAAAGCACUUUAAGUUGGGAGGAAGGGCAGUAAGUUAAUACCUUGCUGUUUUGACGGUACCAAAAGAAUAAGCACCGGCUAACUUCGUG